rnacentral:misc_RNA from 1 species
GAAAGUCUUCGGCGGCCGAGAGGCCCAGCCGUCCCCUUCUAAACCCACCCUGUGAAACCUCCCUUCGCUUCGGCAGCAGCCUCCCGGCCAGCCCGGGGGUCCGUCAGCCUGCCGGCAGCCCCGCAGAAAACCAUUUGUUGAAUCGAACCGUCAGUCUGAAGAACUUUUCUUGAAGAAACAAGUUA